rnacentral:lncRNA from 1 species
UGAGACAAGCUCUCUCAAUGAGCCUGAAGAUCUGUGAUUCAGUUAUGCUGGGUGAACAAAGACCUUCAGGGACCCACCUGUCUCCAUCCCACCAGGGCUGCUGUUACAGGCUUACAUUACCACCCCAGCUUUUUGCAUGAGUUCUGGGGAUCUAAACCCAUAUCCUCAUGCUUAUGGGGUAGCCACUUUACAGACUGAACAUCCUUCCCAGCCAUGUCAAUUUUGCUUACAAACUGGCUUAAAAAAGACACAUUUUAAACUCACAAAUUUACCAAGAGAGCUGCCUGACAGGUAUCAAUGCUUUUUGGUCUUUGCUAAAAGUCUUUAUAAAUGUUUGGCAUAUUUAUUAGUAUGACGGGGGUAUUUUAAACAACAUAUUUAUCAUCUGUUACAGAAUAAUCCAUUGUGAUCAGAGUACAUUAAAAUCUCCUAUGUGUUGACAACCCAGCAGGUGCCUUGGUGGUGUCCAGUUUUCAGCAGGGUCCUAGACAUUAACUUUCAAAAUCCCAAGUUAGGCUAUGUGGAUUCAAGGAAGUGAUUUUUCCUAACCAAAACAAUGAUUAUAGACUUUAUUCUGGUGUUCUGGUGAGGCUAAAGUUAAGCUGUAUAAGGCCCAAACGGCUUGUUAAGCUGAGUCCAGCUCUGUAUCACAUGAAAUGACUAAGUUUCUCCAUUCUUCCGCCUGAAAAACACAACUAACUGUUGAAGGAGUAAGGCUGCAGUGACUCCUCACACUCAGGAACAUGGCCAGCUCAUUUCUAAAUGGAAACUCCCAAGUGCCACAGCACAUCAAUCCUCUGACAUAUAAUCCGACUUCCAGAGCUGGAAUGUUCUCUAAAGGUCAGGUCUUUAGAUGAAGAAUGGCAGUUUAGUGGGUUAUGCAGCAGAAAUGCCUAAAUCUGGAGCCUUGCUUCAUGUCGGAGAAACAGCUUCUCUUCAAACAGCAGAGAGGAAGAAAGAACCUAGGACCGUGUGCUAGGGGAGUCGGGAAACAUUAUCCGGCCUCUAUUUGAGAAAACUGAAGAAAUGCUACACUCGAAGUGGGAAAAAAUCUGUAUUUUUGGCUUCAGAAAUUGGAAAUUUUCAGCACAAUUACUUUUUUCUUCAAUAAAAAAGGAUCUUGCCACGCUGUUCUGGCUGGCUUCGAAUUCGUGGUGUUCCUGUUUCAUUGAGGAUUAGACUUGGGCUACUACACCUGCUAUCUACAUAUAGAAAGGAAGCCAAGCCAGGCCUGGUAGUGACACAUGAUCACAAUCCCAGGACUUGGGGCACAGUGGUGGAGAAAGGAAGGUCACAAGUUCAAGACUAUGUAACAAGUUCCAGGCCAGCUCAGGCUACCUGUGACUCCACUUCCAUAAAGUAAAACCACUAGAAAGUGGGCCAGGAGCUAGAGUUCCCUUCUCUCUUUCCACAUUCUCUGUAUUUUGCUCUCCAUUCCACUCCCAAAUGCGUUCUAUCCACAUGCUGGCCCAUGAGACUCCUGCAGUUUAUCAAAGUGAAGCAACCGAGGAGUUCUUUUUUCAAACAGGCAAAUCUUUUUGUUAGGGUGGGACCUGAAACUGCGGGCUUCUAAGCAGUCCUAACCCUGCGGGAUUAUAAGAAUCUGAUAUUACCUACUUUUUCAGAAUGGCCAAAAGCGAGUAACUAAGGAUAUUGAUGCUCCCGGCCACUACCAACCAGCUGCGAGACCUUGGGCGACUGGGUUAAACUUUUCCCAGGCUAUAGCGAUGAAUGAUCUUUAAAAAUGAUCUAAUACCUGCUCUGAACACAACCGCACGGCUCCUACAUGGCACACAGAAGGCCUUUAAAGCUCUCUUCUAAGCAAUUCUUGAACCGCAGAACGCUUCCGAGAGCAAACAUCCGGUACAGUGCGAGAACACCUGGGCUUUGCAAGUCGUCUUACGGGAACCUGCGAGCUCCGUGUUGCUCCUCCGCCCACGCUCCGGGGCGCCCGGAAAACCGAUCCUCUCGGGACAGAGUCUGGAAAACGGGCUCGAAGCGGGACGUUUCCGCGAGUGGGACAAGUCGCUGGCGGCAUUUCAAGACCCCCAGAGCGACACACACAAUCCCGAACCGAGCAGCCCCGCCGAUCCGCGUUUGCACCACCUCCUGUUCCUAACCCGGACCCCAGACUCCACUCCUAUCCCCAGCCCCCACCACGAUGUCCCCCCAUUCCUUUUCCACGUGACACGGGCCGGAACCGUCACUUCCGGCGGCGCGGGGAGCGCGCCUGCGCGAGGCGCCCAGCUCUGCAAGAGGUUGGCACCGGCGCCGCACCCCGCAACUGCCGCAAGAGGCGGCGGCGGCAGUGCGAGCGGGGCGCCGGCGGGCUGCGGUCUCCAGGCUGCAAAGGCCGCGAGGCUGGGCAGCCACGCCCACCUCGGCCGGCCCCUCCCUCUUCCCCGGCGGCUCGCGCCCGGCGCGCCAG